UUUGCCAUAACAUGGCCAAGGUACAAUGAUUUAUGCAAUCCAAAUCUAAUAACGUACAUCUACUGUAAUUUGACUGGGUAUAUGCCCUAAACUGGUGCUUCUUUUGUAUUUUUACACUUAAAUAUACAUUAAGGCAGGAUGCACGGUUUGACAAGGUAGGACAAUUCGACAGAACACUGGAGUUCGCUGGUGUUGCGCCGAAUAGAGUCCCCUUCCGAUUUCUUCUAAGCUUAUGCUAAACAAAAAGCAGACAUGCGCAGACUCGCUGUGUGACGUCAGCGUUUUCAAAAAGCUCCGUUUUCGCGUGGACGGAAGGCCAAAACAGAGACAAAAACAUCCGUUUUUAUAAAUUCCCGGCUUUGUGUGGACGGGGACUUCAAUGUAUAGACUUUAUGGGCUCUGGCUGCCCAGACGAACAGCUUACAGUCCCGUUUAAGAACAGUUUGGCCGGCGCGAGGUUCGGCCACCGCAGCGCGAGCCGCUAAACACAACUUCUAAUAAACUCAGCCGAGCUGCGGCAGGAUUUCACGACAUUCUGAGCGUCGUGCCCUCCAGAAAAACUCCAACAAUCAGCUAAAAACGGGAAGACUGAAUCUUCAGUGAAUCCAAGAGUCAGCUCGGUGAACUGUGAGGACUGCUCGGUGGCGCGGUUGUCAUGGAAAGGAAGGAUUUGUAAGAAUCGACUCAUCUGAAUUUGACUCUUCGAAUCAUCUCCCGUCUCUGCUCUUACUUACCUGGAUCUGUCUGCAGUAUCUAAAGAACUGAGGUGGUUCUCCUGACGUUGGGUUGGUGGUACAGUGGGGACGGUGUGAAGGAGUUCAGCCGGUGGUCAGCUCAGAGAGAGGAGGCGGCUCCAAGGUUUCGGCGAUCUCCGAGAGCUCGUCCAGCAGCUCGGAGAACGACGGCCUCCGAAACGCUUCCAACUGAAAAGACAAAUAUAUGUACAGUACAGACCAAAAGUUUGGACACACCUUCUCUUUUUCAAUGCGUUUUCUUUAUUUUCAUGACUAUUUACAUUGUAGAUUCUCAAUGAAGGCAUCAAAACUAUGAAUGAAUACAUGUGGAGUUUUAUGUACUUAACAAAAAAAGAGCUGUCCUUCACAGUCACCAGACCUGAACCCAAUCCAGAUGGUUUGGGGUGAGCCGGAGCACAGAGUGAAGAAGGCAAAGGAGCAACAAGUGCUAAUAAACACCUCUGGGAACUCCUUCCUUCAAAACUGUUGGAAAACUUUUCAUUUCAGGUGACCACCUCUUGAAGCUCAUUGAGAGAAUGAUGAUGCCAAGAGUGUGCAAAGCAGUAAUCAGAGCAAAGGGUGGCUAUUUAGAAGAAACUAGAAUAUAAAACAUGUUUUUAGUUAUUUUACCUUUUUUUGUUAAGUACAUAAAACUCCACAUGCGUUCAGGUGAUUUUCAUCUGAUGUAAAUGAUAGAUAGUAACAUAUUUUAUGGGUGUAAUUUACCUGAUGUUAGUAUUUGUGUGUUUGUAUCAGGUGCUCACAUGUCCCAGGAAUGGGUGGACCAAAGAGCAAGUUCCCAGCAGCAUUAUUUAUUUUGUUACAACAUUACCUGUUAAGGAUUAUCUGAUUUUCCAAUGAUUUUUCAUUGGAGUAAUAGAAGUUAAAGAUAAAACAUUUUUAGAUAGGGCCUAAAGGAGGUCAAAGGGAAUUAAUGGUGGUAUAGAGGAGUGAAGGAGGGGAAGAAGGAAAUGAGGUUAGAAGUAGUUAGUGUGUUAGAGGUGUUAGGAGAGUAAGUGCUCUUUGAAGAGCUCUGUCUUCCACCAUUGGGGAACUCUGUAUGAGAACAGUCUGGAUUGCUUUGUGUGAAUGUUUGGCAAAGCGAGGGUCAUCCAUGAUACCUUUUUUAUUUUAUGUGAUGUUCUAUAUUAUAAAAUUAUAGAAGGGUUCCAAAACUUGUCAUACAGUGUAAACCCGACGUUAGUGAUGGUGUUACUAAUUUUAAUGGUAGUGUUCUAGGGUUAAUAAAGCUUAAGAGAUUCACUUACCAAACAACAGCUGGCUGCCAGGUCCAAUACCUGCUGAGGACAACCCGUCACCAUCUUCCUGAAGGCUGAGACAUCUAAACCAUAGUCCUGAUACACACAGAUACACAGACAAGUAUAAGCAGACUUGAAAUCAUUCAACUUUGAAGGAGUUUAGAAAUCAACAUUUGGCGGAAUAACACACAUAACCAAACACAUAAUCAAGAGGAAGAUGGAUGAUGACAAGUCAUCAAACCAAGCUGAACUGCUUGAAUUUUUGCACCAGGAGUAAAGGCAUAAAUUUAUCCAAAAGCAGUGUGUAAGACUGGUGGAGGAGAACAUGCCAAGAU